CAUCACCAUACCUAUCUAUGGGCCCAUUCUCAAGUGCCCUAGAAUCACCAAUUCCUUUUAACGGAAAGGGAGGAUAAAUUGAAAAAAUGAUGGAAUUAAUUGAGACUUUCUAAGAACCAUAAAUAUAUAAUAUAAUAGAAGAAGCUACACCCAUAAUUCUUCUUUAGGAUUCGUUAAAUCCCUAUCAGACUCAUUUUGAGGUGGACGAUUGUGAUGAAGAUGGGUAUGUUACAGAAGUAAAUAUCCUAGAUACAUCCUCCAUCAAAUACACCCUACUUG
rnacentral:lncRNA from 1 species